rnacentral:rRNA from 1 species
AGUGAACGCUGGCGGCGUGCUUAACACAUGCAAGUCGAACGAGAACGGGAUAUAGCUUGCUAUAUUUGUCAGCUAAGUGGCGCACGGGUGAGUAAUGUAUAGAUAACCUGCCCUCUAGAAAGGAAUAACAGUUGGAAACGACUGCUAAUGCCCUAUAUGCCUUUAAUACAUAAGUAUGCAAGGGAAACGCUUUAGUGCUAGAGGAUGGGUCUGUAUGGUAUCAGCUUGUUGGUGAGGUAAUGGCUCACCAAGGCUAUGACGCCUAACUGGUUUGAGAGGAUGAUCAGUCACACUGGAACGGAGACACGGUCCAGACUCCUGCGGGAUGCAGCAGUGGGGAAUAUUGCACAAUGGACGAAGGUCUGAUGCAGCAACGCCGCGUGGAGGAUGACACAUUUCGGUGCGUAAACUCCUUUUAUAUAGGAAGAUAAUGACGGUACUAUAUGAAUAAGCACCGGCUAACUCCGUGCCAGCCGCCGCCGUAA